rnacentral:rRNA from 1 species
CAGCAGUGAGGAAUAUUGGACAAUGGAUGGAAAUCUGAUCCAGCCAUGCCGCGUGCAGGAAGACGGCCCUAUGGGUUGUAAACUGCUUUUGUAUGGGAGCAAUAAGGUCUAUGCGUAGACUGAUGAGAGUACCAUACGAAUAAGCAUCGGCUAACUCCGUGCCAGCAGCCGCGGUAAUACGGGGGAUGCAAGCGUUAUCCGGAUUUAUUGGGUUUAAAGGGUGCGUAGGCGGUUUGAUAAGUCAGCGGUGAAAUAUUUCAGCUUAACUGAAAGGGUGCCGUUGAUACUGUCAGGCUUGAAUAUGGUUGCUGUGGGUGGAAUGUGUGGUGUAGCGGUGAAAUGCGUAGAGAUGUGGAGGAACACCAAUGGCGAAGGCAGCCCCCUGGGUCGAUACUGACGCUCAUGCACGAAAGCGUGGGUAGCAAACAGGAUUAGAUACCCUGGUAGUCCUCGCCCUAAACGAUGUCAACUAGGUGUUGGGAGGGUAAAACCUUUUAGUACCGGAGCUAACGCGUGAAGUUGACCGCCUGGGGAGUACGGCCGCAAGGUUAAAACUCAAAGGAAUUGACGGGGACCCGCACAAGCGGUGGAUGAUGUGGAUUAAUUCGAUGCAACGCGAAAAACCUUACCUACCCUUGACAUGUCAGGAAGUCUUGAGAGAUUGAGAUGUGCCCGAAAGGGAACCUGAACACAGGUGCUGCAUGGCUGUCGUCAGCUCGUGUCGUGAGAUGUUGGGUUAAGUCCCGCAACGAGCGCAACCCUUGUCGUUAAUUGCCAUCAUUUAGUUGGGCACUUUAGCGAGACUGCCGGUGACAAACCGGAGGAAGGUGGGGAUGACGUCAAGUCCUCAUGGCCCUUAUGGGUAGGGCUUCACACGUCAUACAAUGGAUGGUACAAAGGGUCGCCAACCCGCGAGGGGGAGCCAAUCCCAUAAAGCCAUUCGUAGUCCGGAUCGCAGUCUGCAACUCGACUGCGUGAAGUCGGAAUCGCUAGUAAUCGUGGAUCAGAAUGUCACGGUGAAUACGUUCCCGGGCCUUGUACACACCGCC